UACGGAGGGUGCAAGCGUUAUCCGGAUUCACUGGGUUUAAAGGGUGCGUAGGUGGGUUUGUAAGUCAGUGGUGAAAUCUCCAAGCUUAACUUGGAAACUGCCGUUGAUACUAUAAAUCUUGAAUGUUGUGGAGGUGAGCGGAAUAUGUCAUGUAGCGGUGAAAUGCUUAGAUAUGACAUAGAACACCAAUUGCGAAGGCAGCUCACUGGACAAAGAUUGACACUGAGGCACGAAAGCGUGGGGAUCAAACAGG
rnacentral:rRNA from 1 species